rnacentral:rRNA from 1 species
AUAGUUUGAUUCUGGCUCACAAUGAACGCUGGCGGCGUGCCUAACACAUGCAAGUCGCACGAGAAAGGCUGGGUUUCGGCUUGGCCGAGUAAAGUGGCGCACGGGUGAGUAACGCGUGGGUGACCUACCCUCGAAUCUGGGAUAACCUCGCGGAAGCGGGGCUAAUACCGGAUACGUCCCUUCGGGGAGAAAGCCGGCCUCUCGAAGAAGCUGGUGUUCGGGGAUGGGCCCGCGUCCUAUCAGCUAGUUGGUAGGGUAACGGCCUACCAAGGCGACGACGGGUAGCUGGUCUGAGAGGAUGAUCAGCCACACUGGCACUGGAACACGGGCCAGACUCCUACGGGAGGCAGCAGUGAGGAAUUUUGCGCAAUGGGAGCAAUCCUGACGCAGCAACGCCGCGUGGGUGAAGAAGGCCUUCGGGUCGUAAAGCCCUGUCAGGAGGGAAGAACCUCGCUGGGGCGAAUAGCCUUGGCGACUGACGGUACCUCCAGAGGAAGCACCGGCUAACUCCGUGCCAGCAGCCGCGGUAAUAAGGAGGGUGCGAGCGUUAUUCGGAAUUACUGGGCGUAAAGCGCGUGUAGGCGGCAGGUCAAGUCUGGUGCGAAAGCCCGGGGCUCAACCCCGGAAGUGCAUUGGAAACUGCUCUGCUUGAGUACCGGAGAGGAAGGGGGAAUUCCCGGUGUAACCGUGAAAUGCUUAUAUAUCGGGAGGAAUACCAGUGGUGAAGGUGCCCUUCUGGACGCAUACUGACGCCUGAAAGCCAAAGCGUGGGGAGCAAACAGAUUAUAUACCCUGUUAGUCCACCCCGUAAACGAUGGUCCUUAGUGG